rnacentral:rRNA from 1 species
UUGGUUAAGUUAGAAAGGGCGCACGGUGGAUGCCUUGGCACUAGGAGCCGAAGAAGGACGGGACUAACACCGAUAUGCUUUGGGGAGCUGUACGUAAGCGUUGAUCCAGAGAUUUCCGAAUGGGGGAACCCACUAUCUUUAGUCGGAUAGUAUCCUUACGUGAAUACAUAGCGUGAGGAAGGCAGACCCAGGGAACUGAAACAUCUAAGUACCUGGAGGAAGAGAAAGAAAAAUCGAUUUCCUGAGUAGCGGCGAGCGAAACGGAAAGAGCCCAAACCAAGAAGCUUGCUUCUUGGGGUUGUAGGACACUCUAUACGGAGUUACAAAAGAAAGUUAUAAAUGAAGCGGUCUGGAAAGGCCCGCCAAAGACGGUAACAGCCCGGUAGUUGAAAUGGCUUUCCCUCCAGAGUGGAUCCUGAGUACGGCGGAACACGUGAAAUUCCGUCGGAAUCCGGGAGGACCAUCUCCCAAGGCUAAAUACUCCCUAGUGACCGAUAGUGAACCAGUACCGUGAGGGAAAGGUGAAAAGCACCCCGGAAGGGGAGUGAAACAGUUCCUGAAACCGUGUGCCUACAAGUAGUUAGAGCCCGUUAAUGGGUGAUAGCGUGCCUUUUGUAGAAUGAACCGGCGAGUUACGAUUUGUUGCAAGGUUAAGCGGAAAAAGCGGAGCCGUAGCGAAAGCGAGUCUGAAUAGGGCGCAUAAGUAACAGGUCGUAGACCCGAAACCAGGUGAUCUACCCAUGUCCAGGAUGAAGGUAAGGUAAUACUUACUGGAGGUCCGAACCCACGCACGUUGAAAAGUGCGGGGAUGAGGUGUGGGUAGCGGAGAAAUUCCAAUCGAACUUGGAGAUAGCUGGUUCUCUCCGAAAUAGCUUUAGGGCUAGCCUCGAGGUAAAGAGUCAUGGAGGUAGAGCACUGUUUGGACUAGGGGCCCUUCUCGGGUUACCGAAUUCAGAUAAACUCCGAAUGCCAUGUACUUAUACUCGGGAGUCAGACUGCGAGUGAUAAGAUCCGUAGUCGAAAGGGAAACAGCCCAGACCACCAGUUAAGGUCCCCAAAUAUAUGUUAAGUGGAAAAGGAUGUGGGGUUGCUUAGACAACCAGGAUGUUGGCUUAGAAGCAGCCACCAUUGAAAGAGUGCGUAAUAGCUCACUGGUCGAGUGACCCCGCGCCGAAAAUGUACCGGGGCUAAACAUAUUACCGAAACUGUGGAUGAACCUCUUUAGAGGUUCGUGGUAGGAGAGCGUUCUAAGGGCGGUGAAGUCAGACCGGAAGGACUGGUGGAGCGCUUAGAAGUGAGAAUGCCGGUAUGAGUAGCGAAAGAAGGGUGAGAAUCCCUUCCACCGAAUAUCUAAGGUUUCCUGAGGAAGGCUCGUCCGCUCAGGGUUAGUCGGGACCUAAGCCGAGGCCGAUAGGCGUAGGCGAUGGACAACAGGUAGAGAUUCCUGUACCAGUGCUAAUUGUUUAACCGAUGGGGUGACACAGAAGGAUAGGGAAUCGCACGAAUGGAAAUGUGCGUCCAAGCAGUGAGUGUGAGAAGUAGGCAAAUCCGCUUCUCGCGAAGCAUGAGCUGUGAUGGGGAAGGAAAUUAAGUACGGAAGUUCCUGAUUUCACGCUGUCAAGAAAAGCCUCUAGGAAGAGUAGUACUGCCCGUACCGCAAACCGACACAGGUAGAUGAGGAGAGAAUCCUAAGGUGAGCGAGAGAACUCUCGUUAAGGAACUCGGCAAAAUGACCCCGUAACUUCGGGAGAAGGGGUGCUCUAUUAGGGUGCAAGCCCGAGAGAGCCGCAGUGAAUAGGCCCAGGCGACUGUUUAGCAAAAACACAGGUCUCUGCAAAACCGUAAGGUGACGUAUAGGGGCUGACGCCUGCCCGGUGCUGGAAGGUUAAGAGGAGUGCUUAGCUUCGGCGAAGGUACGAAUUGAAGCCCCAGUAAACGGCGGCCGUAACUAUAACGGUCCUAAGGUAGCGAAAUUCCUUGUCGGGUAAGUUCCG